GGAGGGGUGCAAGCGUUACCCCGGAAUCAUUGGGCGUAAAGCGUCCGCAGGGCGGCUUAAUAAGUCGGGUUAUUAAAUCUUGGGAGCCCAACUUCAAGGCUGUGACCGAAACUGCUAAGCUAGAGACUUUCAGGGGUGUGCAGAAUUCUGUGUGUAGGGGUAAAAUCCGUAGAUACACAGAGGAAUACCAAAAGCGAAGGCAGCACACUGGGAAAGAUCUGACGCUCAUGGACGAAAGCGUAGGUAGCGAACGGGAUUAGAUACCCCGGUAGUCUACGCCGUAAACGAUGGAUACUAGGUGUUGGAGGACUCGACCCCUUCAGUGCCGACGCUAACGCAUUAAGUAUCCCGCCUGAAGAGUACGGUCGCAAGAUUA
rnacentral:rRNA from 1 species